rnacentral:rRNA from 1 species
GACGAACGCUGGCGGCGCGCUUAACACAUGCAAGUCGAGCGAGAACCAGGACUUCGGUCCUGGGGACAGCGGCGAACGGGUGAGUAACACGUGGAUAACCUGCCCUCGGCACCGGGAUAGCCCGGGGAAACCCGGAUUAAUACCGGAUGGCCCUUCCGGCUCACGAGCCGGUCGGAAAAGGUAGCUUCGGCCUCCGGCCGAGGAUGGGGCGGCGGCGGAUUAGCUUGGUGGUGGGGUAAUGGCCUACCAAGGCUCCGAUCCGUAGCUGGUCUGAGAGGACGAUCAGCCACACUGGGACUGAGACACGGCCCAGACUCCUACGGGAGGCAGCAGUGGGGAAUCUUGCGCAAUGGGCGAAAGCCUGACGCAGCGACGCCGCGUGAGGGAGGAAGGCCUUCGGGUUGUAAACCUCUUUCAGGAGGGACGAAGCUACUCGGGUGAAUAGCCCAGAGGGUGACGGUACCUCCAGAAGAAGCCCCGGCUAACUACGUGCCAGCAGCCGCCGUAAAAC